AGUUUGAUCCUGGCUCAGGAUGAACGCUGGCGGCGUGCCUAAUACAUGCAAGUCGAGCGAAUGGAUUAAGAGCUUGYUCUUAUGAAGUUAGCGGCGGACGGGUGAGUAACACGUGGGUAACCUGCCCAUAAGACUGGGAUAACUCCGGGAAACCGGGGCUAAUACCGGAUAACAUUUUGAACUGCAUGGUUCGAAAUUGAAAGGCGGCUUCGGCUGUCACUUAUGGAUGGACCCGCGUCGCAUUAGCUAGUUGGUGAGGUAACGGCUCACCAAGGCAACGAUGCGUAGCCGACCUGAGAGGGUGAUCGGCCACACUGGGACUGAGACACGGCCCAGACUCCUACGGGAGGCAGCAGUAGGGAAUYUUCCGCAAUGGACGAAAGUCUGACGGAGCAACGCCGCGUGAGUGAUGAAGGCUUUCGGGUCGUAAAACUCUGUUGUUAGGGAAGAACAAGUGCUAGUUGAAUAAGCUGGCACCUUGACGGUAC
rnacentral:rRNA from 1 species